rnacentral:rRNA from 1 species
UGCCUACGGGUGGCUGCAGUGAGGAAUAUUGCGCAAUGGGCGAAAGCCUGACGCAGCGACGCCGCGUGAGGGAUGAAGGCCUUCGGGUCGUAAACCUCUGUCAGAAGGGACGAAAAUGCGCCAUUUAACUGAUGGUGAACUGACGGUACCUUCGAAGGAAGCACCGGCUAACUCCGUGCCAGCAGCCGCGGUAAUACGGAGGGUGCUAACGUUGCUCGGACUUACUGGGCGUAAAGGGAGCGUAGGCUGUCUAUCAAGUCAGAUGUGAAAUCCCCGGGCUCAACCCUGGAAUUGCAUUUGAUACUGAUAGGCUAGAGUGUAUUAGAGGAGAGCAGAAUUCCUGGUGUAGCGGUGAAAUGCGUUGAGAUCAGGAGGAAUACCGGUGGCGUAAGCGGCUCUCUGGGAUACAACUGACGCUGAGGCUCGAAAGCGUGGGGAUCAAACAGGAUUAGAUACCCGAGUAGUCGCC